AGUCCUAGGUGACCCUUGUGAAAGGGUUAUUCAACCAGCUAAGAGGUUGGGACCCACAAGUUGAGAACCGAUGCUCUAAGCCUUCGUGAUAGAACUUUCAAGUUCAAGAAAACCUGUCAGCUUCAUGAUAUCCUAAACUCUGCAAGGCUACCCUCAACUUGAAGAUCAUUAUAGUCAAGUUAGAGAACAGACACGCACUCGGAAGACUGCAUCUCAGUAACAACCACAGGUGGACCAGGGGUGUGGAUGUGAGCGCUCGAGCUUAUGGAAUCUUCAUGCCUUCGUCUGUAAAAUGGAUUGAUAACAUCUUCUUCUCUGGGUGGCAUCUUGCAUUGAUUACAUGAGAUUAUGUAUGGAAAGGACCUGGCUUAUAGCCUGGGAAUGGUGUGUGCUUAAUACACGAUAAUUACACUAAUAGUUGACGUGCAUUGUCUACUCUGUCUGUGUCGGGCAUUGAGAAGUGCCUUCUGUAUUAACUUGUUCCUGGUAAAUGGUUAUCACGUUC
rnacentral:lncRNA from 1 species